rnacentral:rRNA from 1 species
GAUGAACGCUGGCGGCGUGCCUAAUACAUGCAAGUCGAGCGAAUGGAUUAAGAGCUUGCUCUUAUGAAGUUAGCGGCGGACGGGUGAGUAACACGUGGGUAACCUGCCCAUAAGACUGGGAUAACUCCGGGAAACCGGGGCUAAUACCGGAUAACAUUUUGAACCGCAUGGUUCGAAAUUGAAAGGCGGCUUCGGCUGUCACUUAUGGAUGGACCCGCGUCGCAUUAGCUAGUUGGUGAGGUAACGGCUCACCAAGGCAACGAUGCGGAGCCGACCUGGGACGGUGAUCCGCCACACGUGGACUGAGACACGGCCCAGACGCCUACGGGAGGCAGCAGUAGGGAAUCUUCCGCAAUGGACGAAAGUCUGACGGAGCAACGCCGCGUGAGUGAUGAAGGCUUUCGGGUCGUAAAACUCUGUUGUUAGGGAAGAACAAGUGCUAGUUGAAUAAGCUGGCACCUUGACGGUACCUAACCAGAAAGCCACGGCUAACUACGUGCCAGCCGCCGCCGUAA